AGAAGAUAGAGAGAGAGAGAGAGUGGCGUGCUAGAGAGAAGGGGCUGACAUUUCUAGAGAGAAGGAGGAGAAGAAAGAAAAGAAGAAGAAGAAGAAGAAGGAUUCAAGCUAGGGGUUUGAGCAAGGAGGUGCUUCUAGAUUGGAUUCUUGAUUUCUAUCAAGAGAGGCUCGUUGAGAAGUUGUGGUUUUACUUAGCUUGGACCUGAGGAAUGGAUGUUAGCGUGAUGAACGCAACACAUCAAAUAAAGAGGUUACUAAGGAUAAGAAGACGUAACCGAGUUUUAUGUAAUGGAUGUCAGCGUGAUGAACGCGACACAUCAAAAUGGAUUGCUAAGGAUAUGAAGACGUAACCCGAGUUACUAAGGAUAUAAAGACGUAACUCCAAGGGCGGACGUACCGAGGUUAUUCAAGGACCAGAGACUCCUGUUUACCUCAAAGGGUGGCAUGGACAAGUUAGCGGGCCAUGUUCACAAGGAAUUGUUUAUGAGUAUGUUAUGAUGAUGUUAUGAUGUUUUGUUAUAAUGAUGCUAUGAUGUUUAUGUUAUGAUUAUGUUAUGAUGAUGUUAUGAUGUUUUGUUAUAAUGAUGCUAGGAUGUUUAUGUUAUGAUGAUGUUAUGAUGUUUUGUUAUAAUCAUGCUAUGAUGUUUAUGUUAUGGUGAUGUUAUGAUGUUUAUGAU